GCACCAAUAGCUCAACUGGAUAGAGUAUUGCCCUCCGAAGGCAAAGGUUUGGGGUUCAAAUCCCCAUUGGUGCACCA
rnacentral:tRNA from 1 species